CCUACGUGGGGCUGCAGUGGGGAAUAUUGGACAAUGGGCGAAAGCCUGAUCCAGCCAUGCCGCGUGUGUGAAGAAGGCCUUCGGGUUGUAAAGCACUUUCAGUGGGGAAGAAAGCCUUGGGGCUAAUACCCUCGAGGAAGGACAUCACCCACAGAAGAAGCACCGGCUAACUCCGUGCCAGCAGCCGCGGUAAUACGGAGGGUGCGAGCGUUAAUCGGAAUUACUGGGCGUAAGGCGCGCGUAGGCGGUCUGAUAAGCCGGUUGUGAAAGCCCCGGGCUCAACCUGGGAACGGCAUCCGGAACUGUCAGGCUAGAGUGCAGGAGAGGAAGGUAGAAUUCCCGGUGUAGCGGUGAAAUGCGUAGAGAUCGGGAGGAAUACCAGUGGCGAAGGCGGCCUUCUGGACUGACACUGACGCUGAGGUGCGAAAGCGUGGGUAGCAAACAGGAUUAGAUACCCGAGUAGUC
rnacentral:rRNA from 1 species